CCACUCAUGACUUAAUCAAUGGUCUUUAUACCUCAACACUCGAGUUGGAUUGGCAGUUGUCCCGCGAAGAUCUUGCUCAGGAUUUUGAGUGUCGUGUGAAAUCCGCAGCCAUACAAAAUGUUACUGUAACUAAGUUUAGCGUGGAUUUACAAGUUCGGCCAACUAGUAUAAAUAUUAAUGGGGUAAAACAUCACACAGUACAAGGCAGCAAAGUGGUUUUAACAUGUGACAUUCGUGGGGCGCGACCAGCAGUAAAUCUUACUUGGUAUAACACAACCACCAUAAUAAGUUCAGACGAAAACGAAAUAACUGAAAUCCGGACUAAAUCGCUGGAAAAAAGUGACGGCACCUUUCAUACUCAAUCCGAACUCAUUUUCAACGCCACCCGCUUUGAAAAUGAUCGGGUUUUUCGUUGCGAAGCUGAAAAUAUUGUUUUGCAAAUUAAUCGCGAAAAACCAAUUUCAUCUGCCCUCACGUUGGAAGUCUUAUAUCCCCCCGUAGUCAAAGUCAGUCCAUCUGAUAUAAUUGCCAAUACAAGUGAAAUAGUUCUUCUUAACUGUGAAUACGUUGCAAACCCUGCUUCACUGACUCAAGUUGA
rnacentral:sRNA from 1 species